GCCUCGUACCAGCCAGCCUCACCCGCGCCCGAGAUCAACUCCCAGGCGGGCUCCGUGCUGGGCUUCAUCCUGUGCAGUAACAGGUGUGAGCAUCCAUGCAGCGUUUUGAUGGUCAUGUAUGAUACUGCAUACAAGG
rnacentral:snoRNA from 1 species